GGGUGGCCCAGCACCUGAUUAUGGAGGCAAUGAGACCAGGGGUAGAAAACAGAGCAGGAACCUGACAUGCUACUUUUAGCCAAGAGGAAAGAGACUCUGCUACUAUCUUAUAAAACAUACAAGUCUCCCUGACACUUCUUAUCCACCACAGUAUAUCUCUGGUGUAGCUGCGUGGCCCCAGACUUGAGGAUAAAAGUGCACCUUCCAUCUGCUAGAGCUGCAGGGCUAGACGUUCCUCUUCUCCUGCUAGCAGGCACUAGAGCUCCACCCGACUAUCCAGAUGUGUUAUGUGCAGACUUGAAACUGACUAGAAUCGCUCCUGAAGAGUCAUAUUGGCUGGCAACGACUAUUCUCAGCAUACUGGUUCUGUGGACACAGAAUGCCUGGCCUGGCAGAGCAGCUACACCAUCGCAGCCCAGGAAGUCUGUCCUCAGCAGACCACAGAUCCCGCAGCAGCACUAACUAGCCAUCGUAGCUGCCCUCAAGAAAGUGAGACAUCUCCUCCGCCCCCUGCCUGACUCUGCCUCCUGUGGGUUUCUUCACUAGACUGGACCUCUCCUCUAGGAGCCGAAGAUGCAUUUGUUUGAGCCCUUUUGUCAACCUGGCGAGGAAGUGGUCUGGAACAGGAGUCACCAGGAACCACAAGGCUGCCCAAAGUCACACCACCUUCCUUCCGGAGGCCAAGAACUCACUUCCUCCCACGCAGACCAGAAUCUCUUCUUACCACAAGCAUAGCAGCCUGCUUCCACUCACCGUGAAGUCCCUCUUAAUGGCGAAGUUCUCAGGUUUGACAUCACAGAGGUGGAGGCGGUGGGAAAAGUCACUGUCGAAAUGGCUCACCAUGUCCAGGAAGCUGAGGGCAAUGUGGCUAACAGCCUGUGCUUGGCCAGCAUCAUCCAGUGGGAAGAGAGCCUUGUGGUGAGGGCUACCAGCAGCCAAGUACUCCACUGCGUAAAAGUGACCACAGGAUCCCAGCACCGGUAGGAUGUGGCGGCUCAGAUCUGGAAGCAGGCUGAAGUACACAUAUUCUUCCUGUUGGAGCAGUGACCACGCACUGGCCAGCUGUUGCCGCCAGCCAGGGCCCUGCCUGGCAGGCCACAGCGGGGCUAUGCUGUUGUUGGGCAGCUCCAAGCCUAGCGUGUUCUUGACCUCACCGGCCACCAUCAGGAGCAGCUCAGCCUCAGGGAUGCCAGGGGCACCUGGCCCUGCUUCCUCCUCCAGUAGAGCGAGGGGCGGGAAACUGGAGAAGGCCUCCCUCUUGGAUUUGAGGACCACAGUCCGGCCGCGCCACUGGGCCUGCAGCACCUUCUUACCACGCUCGUAAUACAGGCAGCGUUGGUACCGCAGCUCCCCGCCCACACACAGGUCCUCGCACAAGGCUCCCGUGAGCCAGCCACCCCGGUAGUCCUGGCACUGGAAAAAGGGAACAGAGAGUCACAACAGAGAUAGAGGGCAAGGGACUUUGUAAUUAGCUGAGGAGAGAAAAUGCCCAUGAGAGUGUUGGAGGCCACCUGGGAGUUGGGUUCGAGUGAUCACCUGGGCCUGUGAGUUCCCCAGCCAGCCCUUAGUGGAAACAAUGAUUAAAUAUUGCAUCUGCACAGAGCAUGUACCGACUGUUUCACGAGCCAUCACACUUCUCUAUUAUACAGUCUAGCAAGUACCUCUAUUGUAGUGAGUAUCGAAGGAAACUCAGAGGUGAUUCAAAGCAUAGGGAAAGUGUACACUAUGCAGACACUAGGCUGCUCUAGAAGGGACUGAAACCCUUGGGUUGAUUUUUGUUAUCCACAGAGGUUACAGAACUGAUUCCCUACAUACACAGAGGGCCAACCCUAAUUUGGUGAGAGUCUCAUCAGGAUUAUGUUGCUCAGUCCAUCUGAGGACAUGGCCUUCAAAAUCACACAUCCAGAGUCAAGAGCUCAUCCUCUGCAGUCAAGCAGGAUGCACCUGAGAACAUCUGAACCCUGGAAGAACAGACCCAGCCAUGAUCCUCAUCUUUGACUCCACAUUGGAGGCUUAUCCAGAGACUGUUAACAUUCCCAUACCGGAACAGUUAGGUUGGAUGAGGCCUCAGAGUUUCAUCUGUCCCUCGGCGUGACCACAGUACUGUCCCUUCCAAACACGCUGGUGUUUGCUUACGUUUCUGAAGCCCUCAGGAUGUCAGAUAGCAUGCCUCCGGGCUCACAGAGUGGAUGUAAGGCACAGGGUGCAGUGUCUCCUGAAGCACAGAGGCAGCCUGCAAUUGUAGCAGCAAUGAAGAAAGAGCCCCAGAAGCCUUAGAUGGGGUGUCACUUCUAAACGCCACAAGGCCCCAGGAUAGAGCCACUCAGAGAGAAGAGAAAUCUGGCGACGUUCCCCAGCAUGCCACAGAUCCCUAGGAAGACCGUACUGGCUGACCGUCCAUCGAGAAAGAGGAAGGCACACGAAGGAGCGUGGAGUAAAGGGAGAAAUUCUAUAAUUCCAUUUUCACGAGGCCUAAAUCUCUGAACAAGAUGAGCGUAUUUUCUAAGCCUGCACAAAUGGACCCCUCCCUGUUAGCAAAUACAAGCUGUUGUCCUCUCCCAGAGCAUCCACUGCAGACAAACCCACAUUCAUUCACCUUACUCCUUACAUGAUCCUAAAACAGGAAUAAAAAUCUCAGUCUUUUCACCCUGUUUUGCUCAUUGUAAAAUGCCCGGAUGAUCCACUGUGGACCCUAUGCAGUGUGAUGCCCUGAACAAACCACUGGAUGAAAACCCAAAAGCCUGAAGUCUGACUGCUGGGCUGCAAUUCUCAGCAUGCCUCCUACCCGGUCAGGGCCUCCUACUCCUCCUCUAUAUCUCAGGUAUUCUGCUUUCCUUGCACAGUGACAGUAACUGUACAGCCCGGUGAGAUGCACACGAGGGAGAUGCCCAGGGCCAGGCUAACAAGAUGACCUCUGAACCACGAUCAGAUAUGUCAGUGUGUUCUUUGCAAAGGCAGGCGGGUACUUUCACAUUAGUCAGCUUUAUUGUUUCUCAGAUGAUUAUAAGAUGUGCCUUAAAGUCAAGAAAAUAAACUCCUGGUGCUUAGACGCAAAUAAUUUCAAACCCAAAAGCUGUCUGGAAACCACAAGCGUUCAUGACUCAUUUGGCCACAUAUGGUGUCAAGCAAGGCUGAAACGACGGGGCAUUUACAGCUGCCGCUUGACUCUGACUGCGUACAUCUAAGAAUUCCUAAUCUGCCUGAUCUCUGUGAAGCACACAGACUGAGGAUCACAGCAGCCAAACACCAUGUGACAAGCCUUCCUCUCAUAACAGCUCUGCAGAGAGAAAGUCUGGGACCCGGAGCAGAUGUUGGAAACCCCUGGGGACUUAAGCCUCACCCCAUCCCCUAGCUGGCUCUUUGCUACCUGGUUACUAUAUUCUGCAGCAGUGGCUUCCUCGUGUACGUGGGGCAAGUGCGGAGACAGAGCGAAGCAAGUUUCUGGCCACUUUGGGGACAGUGAAAAUCACUAGAAGACACCAGAGUUGCCGUCACCAUCACAUCCCAGGUCCCACUGCAGUUUCCAACCGCAGCCUUCAGUUCACCCCACCCACAGCUGUGCCUUGGGAUUUCUCUCCAGAAAGGUAGUCACCCCCCAUGCUAACCCUUCACACAUGGGUGUCUUCCUGUGAGUGCCUGUCUGAGAUGCACAUCAAGCCCACGAGAGUGAAGCACAGGGAAAAUCUGUGUCAUGCCACUUGGCACUGAGAUGCUUAUGCAAGCAUCCGUAGGAAAAAGUGACAUCCCAGAAUUGUCAUUUCUCAUUUGGCAAUGGCAUCUAACUCAUUGCCAAGGUCUGUGCUCAGCCAUAAAGCACGCCUGAAGGAA